rnacentral:lncRNA from 1 species
UUUCCCUCAACAGGGCCUCUUAAAAGAUCAUAGGCAGAUUUUACCGAGAAACCACUAUCCUUACCAGCCUUCCAAACUCGACUAUCUGCAGAAUUCAAGAUAGGGGUCUUUCCAUGCACUUCUUGUAACAGCUGGACUUCCUGGCAUAUUUCCCGAUCAAACAGACCUCUCCUCCAAAUUAACUUCCACUCCCAUCUAUCAUUAACCCACUCCCCA